rnacentral:lncRNA from 1 species
GGUUGGUAACAAGAUGAUCUGUGACUCUUUCUUCACUUCAAAACCCUUGGACACCCCCACCCACCACUCUGCACAAUGUCUCUCUAGUAAGAGAGAAAGCUGGAAGACGAGCUCUAGGUAGCACAGCCACCAGUCACCAUGAUGCUCUAGAAUCGGCAGUCAUUACUGUGAGAAGUUGCUUUGGAUUCCCCAUCAUGAAUAGUGCCGCAGAAGGGAGAAGUCAGCUCUGGACACGAGUCCCCACUGCGCUCAUCUCCCUCAUAAAGGGGGCCAGCAUUGCAGUGUUUGGCUUUCUUCUUUUGCACAUGAGGUGGCAAGUGGUCAAGAAGAAGGGGAUACUGUAAUUUGAGGGCUGUCUUGGAUCAUCACGGUUAUAGAGCUCGUGGGUCCAGUGGUAAGAGCAGGUCCUGCUCAGGCAGAGUCCAAGGGAAGGUGACAACAGAGGAGACUGGAGCAGUGCCUGGGGAAAAGGAAGUGAAGAGUGACAGGCCAAGUGUUGCACCACAGAUCAGUCUUUAAGCUGGAAUGGGGAUCAGGACCCCUGCUGUAUGUCCCUUCAAAGAGCCGUGACUUUCACCAGCCAGCCAACCAACAAAACAACUACCAUUGUUUUGUGCUUCAUCCAUUAUCUAAUUUAAUCCUUACAACACCACUGUGAGGUCUGGAGUCUGGAAGUCCAAAAUCAAGGUGCUAGCAGAUUUGGUGUCUGAAGGACCAAGGGUGGGUAGAGGAGAUGUCUUCCUCCCUUACAGUUUGGCAACUUGGACGGGAUAAAAUUUCACUGGCUGGACACUGCUCGCUCCUGGACCACUGCAGCAGAGAGACCCCGGACCCCUGACAAGAGCCAGCAAGAGGGAAGAGUUCUUACCACGUCAGUCUCCCGGAUCUCUGCCUGCAGGUUCCAAUGGAAGCAAGAGUGAAUCUUUGAAAACCGAACCUGACCUUUUUCCUGAAGCCUUGCAAACUGAAGCUGAAAAACUUGAUAUAAACUUAAGAGAGAUACAUAUCUGUUGUUGUGUAAGCUGUAAGCUGCUCAGAAAGAUACUUUAAUGCCCGAUGACAUCAUCAGAGACAUCUCAAACUGCAAAAGAGGCUUUGACUCUG